CUUGCCACAAGUCUCAUCACGCGAGACUAGCGUUGCCUCUGCCUGUAAUCGCAGCGAUCUCUCUGCCGCUCUGUGGGAGCCAUGCCUUCUUUACAAUGGACCUAGCCCGUGGAAGAAGCCUAUUUUUUGAAAUCGACAAAUGGGAGAAAUUUGAGAUACCCAGAGUAGUGUUCCAGUCAGCAGAAAUCAUUUGUGGAUUACAGUUUCUCCAUUCAAAAGAAAUCAUUCACUGGUCAGUAUUA